rnacentral:rRNA from 1 species
CCUANGGGGGGCAGCAGUGGGGAAUAUUGCGCAAUGGGGGAAACCCUGACGCAGCGACGCCGCGUGGAGGAUGAAGGCCUUCGGGUUGUAAACUCCUUUUGUAGGGGAAGAUAAUGACGGUACCCUGCGAAUAAGCCACGGCUAACUCUGUGCCAGCAGCCGCGGUAAGACAGAGGUGGCGAGCGUUGUUCGGAAUUACUGGGCUUAAAGGGCGAGUAGGCGGUGGAGCAAGUCUGAGGUGGAAUCUUAGGGCUUAACCCUAAAACUGCCUUAGAAACUGUUUUACUUGAGUCAGUGAGGGGAGGGCGGAAUUCCAGGUGUAGCGGUGAAAUGCGUAGAUAUCUGGAGGAAGGCCUGUGGUGAAGACGGCCCUCUGGCACUGUACUGACGCUGAGGCGCGAAAGCGUGGGUAGCAAACAGGAUUAGAUACCCUANUANUC